AGAGUUUGAUCCUGGCUCAGAUUGAACGCUGGCGGAAUGCUUUACACAUGCAAGUCGAACGGCAGCACGGGAGCUUGCUCCUGGUGGCGAGUGGCGAACGGGUGAGUAACGCGUCGGAACGUACCGAGUAAUGGGGGAUAACGCAGCGAARGUUGUGCUAAUACCGCAUACGCCCUGAGGGGGAAAGUGGGGGAUCGCAAGACCUCACGUUAUUCGAGCGGCCGACGUCUGAUUAGCUUGUUGGUGGGGUAAUGGCCUACCAAGGCGACGAUCAGUAGCGGGUCUGAGAGGAUGAUCCGCCACACUGGAACUGAGACACGGUCCAGACUCCUACGGGAGGCAGCAGUGGGGAAUUUUGGACAAUGGGGGCAACCCUGAUCCAGCCAUUCCGCGUGAGUGAAGAAGGCCUUCGGGUUGUAAAGCUCUUUCAGCCGGAACGAAACGGUAUGUCUUAAUACGAUGUGCUAAUGACGGUACCGGUAGAAGAAGCACCGGCUAACUACGUGCCAGCAGCCGCGGUAAUAC
rnacentral:rRNA from 1 species